rnacentral:rRNA from 1 species
UGGAUUCGCUAGUAAUCGCGCAUCAGCCAUGGCGCGGUGAAUACGUUCCCGGGCCUUGUACACACCGCCCCGUCAAGCCAUGAAAGCCGGGGGGUACUUGAAGUACGUAACCGCAAGGAUCGUCCUAGGGUAAAACUGGUAAUUGGGGCUAAGUCGUAACAAGGUACC